rnacentral:rRNA from 1 species
AACGAACGCUGGCGGCAGGCUUAACACAUGCAAGUCGAACGGAUCCUUCGGGAUUAGUGGCAGACGGGUGAGUAACGCGUGGGAACGUACCCUUUGCUACGGAAUAACUCAGGGAAACUUGAGCUUAUACCGUAUGUGCCCUACGGGGGAAAGAUUUAUCGGCAAAGGAUCGGCCCGCGUUGGAUUAGCUAGUUGGUGGGGUAAUGGCCUACCAAGGCGACGAUCCAUAGCUGGUCUGAGAGGAUGAUCAGCCACACUGGGACUGAGACACGGCCCAGACUCCUACGGGAGGCAGCAGUGGGGAAUAUUGGACAAUGGGCGCAAGCCUGAUCCAGCCAUGCCGCGUGAGUGAUGAAGGUCUUAGGAUUGUAAAGCUCUUUCACCGGUGAAGAUAAUGACGGUAGCCGGAGAAGAAGCCCCGGCUAACUUCGUG